AGCAUCUGUUAACAAAUUCACUGAAAAUCAAACCUUGAUGAUAACUGAACAAAUUAUAAUUAAAAGUAAAUAUUAACACAAAAAAUCACUAGGAUGAACUGAAGUAAUGAUAUUAAAACAUUUAGAUUAGUUCAUGGUACAGAUGUGUAAAAUAAAUGAGGAGGUCUUUUUUCCUCUUUUAAAUAGUAAUAGUUUCUUGUGUACAAACAAGAACUCCUCAUUGCCUGCUAGUUAAUUUUUGGGCCAUUGUAACAUAACUGUCCUUAGCCCAUUACUAGAAUGUAUUUAAGAAACACAACCAAUUAUUAUUAUUUUUAAGAAAACUUAAUUAUCUAUUAAAGUUAUUAUAAUUUAUUAUGUAACGUUUCAGAGCAAUGACUAUUGCAGAGCCAAAUAUACAUAGUUUAAAGUAUUUUUGUUACCUGUAAUAUUGCUCCCCCCUUUUAUUUUUAUGGUUUGAAUUUUAACAGUAUAAAUGAUAAUGACAUUGCAUUUUAAUUUGGAUCUUAUACGCUUCUCUCUUUAUAAAUGUGGAUAACGUAAGUGAACAUUGCUCAAAUGAAUUCUGGAUGUGUAUAUAUAUAUAGAUAUAGAUAUAUACAUAUAUACACACACACACACAAUGCAUAUAUAUGUGGACACCAUCUACUAACAUUUUUAUGAAACAAAUGACAGUUUACAUACUGCAUUAUUGCACAGAUGUAGUUUUUAAUAAAGGCUUAAAUUUAAGCUUCAAAAUAGGGUAAGAUGUGGUGUGGAAUGUUGAACAGUAUAUAAAACUGUAGUUGGUAAUAUUUUAUUUGUUAAAUGAAUCAGGCUUGGGUUUGACACUUACUCACUUCUCAUGUUAAUUUCAACAUGGCUACCCAGUUGUGAGAUACACCUUUCACUACUCCUAUCCCAUUUCAAAAAUAUAUGUGAGCAUUUCCAUAAAGCAUUGUGUCCUAACUCAAAGCAGGUAGCAUGGAGAUAUUGGUUCUGUGGAACUUUUCUUCAAAUUGCAAUCUGCCUUUCCUAACUGCAACAUGCACAGAUCCGUCCUUAUAUCCACUGCAAGGGACAUCACAGAAAAAUGGAAAGAAAUGUAGCAAACAGAAAAUGAAGAGAGAGAGAAGAUAAUGUGUAAUCAGCUGGGGAAAGACUUCUGAGGUAAUUCUCAUAUGCUUGCUCAUCAGCCACCAUUUUGAGAACUAUUAUUCUCAGCAAAUAUCUUACCAAGCAAAUACUUUAUCUUUCAGAAUAUGCAGUUUGUUUAUUCCCAUGUUUGUACAAAUUACUGUGGUUAUUCUUUUAUCUCCUGAAAAUACAUAUCUUUCAUGGGUAUCAAAAUUCAGUUUCAAAUUCCCUUCAUGCAGUAGGCCUCUAUUGAUACAGUAAACUAAAUUUUGACUAUUCUCUCAAAUACUCCUGCACACUAUUUACUUUAUGCUGAUUUGAGUAUGUUGGAAUAUUUUACCCUAAGUGUCCUUCAGUCAUUUUGCCUAUUGGUGCCAAGAAUUCUGGCUUUUCAAUUAUGUUGUAAGCACUUGAGAGCACAGAUUGUCUUCAGUCUUUCGUAGCCCAGUGUCUAGGACCAUAUUUUGCACAGGUAAGGGCAAUACAUUCCGAUCAAACUUCUGAGUUUCGUGAAUCUUUUCCUGUUACUAAAAUAGCCACAUUACUACCUUUCUUCCCAUUAUUUUCAACACAGAGCCUGGGCAACAAUAAACACUAAAUAAAUAUUUGUUGAAUAAAUGAAUGGACAGAGUUUUAAAUAUGUGUGGCCUAUGGAUUCUUGCAAAAGUUGAAAGUCCUGUGUAUGUAACCCAGAGAAAUGAUGAAAAGAAAUGGAGUUUGGAGUGUAAGAGAGGUGGUAAGAAAUGUGACAGUAUGAGAAAUGACUUCUUUUACUUUUCUUAAAUUUGAUUAUUGGCAAUAUACAUGGUGUCUAAAUAAGCAAGAUACAAGCUGACUAAACAAAGAAGGCAGAGGAAAAUGAGUAAUAUGAGCAUGUCUCCAAGGAGAAACUAGGGGGAAGAAAGUAGGAAGGAAGGAAGCGAGGGAGGGAGGGGAAGAGUUACAAGAUGUAUUCAUAGCUCCUCAGCAGUAGACAAAGCAGAGAAAGGAGCAUAGCCAAUACUAUUCAGGUGCGGU
rnacentral:lncRNA from 10 species